UGUCAAUUACAAAUAAUUUAAAGUCACAAUAAUGGCAUUGUAAUAUACGUACAAUUUCCUACAAGCACAAGUUUUGAGGGUGGUAAAAUGCUAGCUCAUGCGUUUUCCACAUGGGAUAAGUAACCUACUUUGAAGAGAAUUUAGCGAAGAAUUUAACUUGAUACUUUAAAAGUGAUGUGUCUAAGAGAAGAUUUCCAUCUAUGGAGUCUAAGAGCUUUAGGGUCGAGUUGUGCAAGCAUUGGAAGUUGUUAGUAUCAGAGUCAACAAGUUUGGUGAAGACUUGAAUUGCAAGCCGAGUGAUUCCAUGAUGCAUGUGUGAAGGAAAGAAUUGUUUUCAAAAGGACAAAUUCACAUGUUGACUCAAAGUUUGCCAACUGUUGUCGAUAUUGAGCACCAAGAAAUGCCUCGUGUUGCGACCAUGACGUACGAUUCGUCAAGAAGACUUGAGGAAAUUUGCGUUUAGUUGAAAUUAAUUUAAAAGUUAUGAGGUGAAAGAAAACUUGUUAAGAUUUGCAGCCACUCCUAGUUACUUUCGUUUUCUUUACCCAUCUAGAAUUCGUCAUGGCUUUCAUUGAUAGGUCUAGAAAAUGAUACCUAAUUCUAUUGAAGUUUUGAAUAGUUGUUAUGAACUUAAGACUUAUCAGCCAAUAUAAACUGAAGAAUAUCCUGAGAAGAGAGAAGUUCUUCCCCUAAGCCUUCCAUCUUAGCUUUAUGCAUGUCCAUCCUUCCCCUACCCUUCGUGGUAGAUCUCUGCCCCGGUGGCAGCAGGUGCACAUGUUUCAUACCCAUCAGUUUUUUAAAUGAAUGUUCGCCGAUUUGAAUCCUGAAUUUGGCGUUGUAUUAGAUGUCUUACAUAGGCACGUGGGCGAUUAUGUUGCUGCUUAUCUCGAUUCCCUUUCUUUGUUCUAUUUCUUUUGGCUACCUAACUGCCUGGCGAUCUGUUGAUGGGUUAUGUUGAUGUUUUGUAUGGUUUUGGGAUGUGCAUUAUGGAAUUCUUCUGUUCGGAUCUGGUUUGUUGUUCAUGCGCAGAAAAUAUUUGGCCGACUUCUCAGUCAUUGGUUUCAGCUCUUGUGAUGUUUCUAUGUCAACGUGGUGGCUCGAUUGUUGGCAGUGACAGCACGAUCGAUCUCCUCUUCUGCUGAGCUUGCAUGUGGGCUGGUUGUCUUUGGGCUUGUUUGUUGUUGAUUUUUGUUGGUUGUUUCCUUGUUUUUGCACUCUUGGUCCAUUUUUGGGUCUUUGUUUGUAAGUUUGUGUUUGUGAAAUAAAACAAAUCAUUUCACUAGCCUAUAUAUACGGAAGUUAUUUUUUUUAGGACAAUGUCUCAAAAUGUAAACCUACCGCUAUUUUUCCUCCUAAGUUGUACUUAUAUAGGAUUUUUUUCCAAUAAGUCUCUAUUUUUCUUUUUUC